CAGUCGUUGGAGAUUUUUGCCUUAGCAGUAUCCAUAGCGUCAGAGGUGUCGCCCCUUGAGUCCCGCAUUCAUGCACUGCUAUCUUAGGCACCGCCGGCCCUAUACCCUUUCAAUUCUUUCUUGCUGGCAACUCCAACAGAGGGGUAAGGAGGGUAAUGGAAUGGACACAAGCAACACAUCUCAAAGAACAACAGUAGGUAGGUAACUGUUUCUUCAAGUGCUUGCUCAUGUUGAUUCCAUUCUAGGUGACUCCUGGGAAGUGGGCUUGGAGUUCACAGUCUUGCCGCUUGCAGAAAUGCUCUACUGAAGCCAGCAUCAUCCUAGGCCUGCUGAGUAAGCGCAUAAUGGGGCGUGAAUGUGUGGACAGAUGGCUACCCUACAGCUGUCCUGGAUAGGCACUUGGGCUAGGAAGGCUGCCAGAGAGGCCUGCGGCCUGACUGAAUGGACUAUUAUGAUCACUGGAGGGGGAACUUUUGUCUGAUUGUAGCAGCAGCGAAUGCAGGCAGAGAUCCAAGAAGAAAUUCUUGAGCAGACACUGGAUGACCUUUUAUCCUAUCAGCCAUUGCGAUGAACAAUUGCAUUGACUUGUGGAAUGGCUUGGCCCUUUCAAUGUAGAAGGCCAGUGCCCUCCUGACAGCUAGAGAAUGCAAUCUAUACUCCUCCUCUUCUGACUCAUGCAGCUUUGGAAAAAAGACAGGACUGAAUCACUUCAGAAUGUUACCUCACUGUCAAAUACACUCUCCUUUUGCACUGCUGUCAUCAACAAGCCAAGUAAGGCAGCCAAGUUAAGCUGUGAAUCAGAAGUUGCUCAUCACUGAGAGCACCAUCUCAAAAAUCCAUAGCUAGUGAAAAAUAUUAAUUAUAAAUCCAGCAGAAGCAAAGGACAAAACACCUACCCCCCAUUCCUCAGCAGCUUCAGGGGUGGCAAAGCUUUGUCUGGGCCAGCAGAAGAAAAAAGAAAACUCUUGGCCUCUUUUAAGGAUUGCCCUCCUUUCCCUGUUUCCUCCCAUCCUUCUGGAAACUCAGACUUCUUGUGGACUUGAGGAAUGAGGGUUGUGGCAGACUGGCUAGAUAUGAGAGUAACCAGCAUAAGCCUGUUCUCCAAUGCACCCAAGAGAAGGUCUGAUAAACCCUUCACCCUGCCUGGGGGACUAUUCUGCACUGGGAAGAAAUUCUAAUCCAAAUUGGAGAUGUGGGGGACAAACCAGGUUUUGGGGACUUACGGGCACUGCCACCUUUUUGAUGCGAGGAAAUAAUUUUUUCCCCUCUCACUGCCAGACUGGCCUGGAGAGAGGUUUGUGGGGUAUGUGUUUUUUUGUUUUUGUUCUCAGCAACCCAGGCAUGGUGGGGUACGUUAGAUUGAUUCAUUUUGUUGCAACAUGGCAGCUACCCAGUGCAAGUAAUUAUUAAAUGCAGAGUCCAGUUCCCUGAUAAAUCAGAAUUGGAGCAGACUAGGAAAAGGCAACUGGUAAAGGAGAGAAAUGGGUACAGCACUGUCUGGUACAGCAAGGAGACAACCCCCAACCAUAACCCCAUAGUUGCAGCCUUCCACCAUGUGGAAUAGAUUACAAAGGAUGAUCUGCACCAGACAAGUUAUUGCUGAGUAGUUCUCAGAUGUGUUACUAAAUAAAACUGUGGCCUAGCUAAACCAUAUUCUCAUUGUUUUGUUUUUCCUUCUGUGGCG